rnacentral:rRNA from 1 species
UACGUAGGGUGCAGGCGUUAAUCGGAAUUACUGGGCGUAAAGCGUGCGCAGGCGGUUUGCUAAGACAGGUGUGAAAUCCCCGGGCUUAACCUGGGAAUGGCAUUUGGGACUGCAAGGCUGGAGUGCGGCAGAGGAGACUGGAAUUCCUGGUGUAGCAGUGAAAUGCGUAGAUAUCAGGAGGAACACCGAUGGCGAAGGCAGGUCUCUGGGCUGACACUGACGCUCAUGCACGAAAGCGUGGGGAGCAAACGGG